GAUAGAUCGAUGCACAGAUCACUUCUCUUCAUGUGUAGAUGAGUCUCGAGUUGAUAGUAUGGGGACACUGAAGUGAGAGUGCAGGUGCUUGAUAGAGAUCAAGAAUACUAAGCAUGAUCAAUAAGAAAAGUCACUUGGAUAGCUGUCCACUCGUCAGUGACUUACUCGAUGUUGCAGUUGUGUAGAUAGUUCUUUAACCUGCGACGCUUUAGCUAUUCACAGUGGGGUUACUA
rnacentral:lncRNA from 1 species